UGAACAAAAACAUACCUUAGAAGUACUCGUAUAUACUUAGCUAAUCAGAACAUAAAAUCAUCCUUUCAGAUAUUACAUAAAUAGUAGCAGAUUAUCAAUUUUCAUACUCGUAUCACAUACAUAUUGUAUUACAGAACUUAUGAAGUGACUAAGCUCGAAUUGUACUUUAAAUACGGCCUUAACUGAACUUCACUAAAAAUGGGCCCACACGUCCGUUUGGCCCACAUGGGCUAACACACUAUUGUGUGGCCUACAUGGCCUAAAUAACCUAGCCUGUUGCCCACACAGUCUGGCACACGACCAUGUGACGUCGACUGUGAAAUUUUUAGCAUCGCUCUGUUCUUUGUUUUUCGUUACACACCUGGCCAAUUUUUU
rnacentral:lncRNA from 1 species